rnacentral:rRNA from 1 species
GAUGAACGCUGGCGGCGUGCCUAAUACAUGCAAGUCGAGCGAACGGACGAGAAGCUUGCUUCUCUGAUGUUAGCGGCGGACGGGUGAUUAACACGUGGAUAACCUACCUAUAAGACUGGGAUAACUUCGGGAAACCGGAGCUAAUACCGGAUAAUAUUUUGAACCGCAUGGCUCAAAAGUGAAAGACGGUCUUGCUGUCACUUAUAGAUGGAUCCGCGCUGCAUUAGCUAGUUGGUAAGGUAACGGCUUACCAAGGCAACGAUGCAUAGCCGAUCUGAGAGGGUGAUCAGCCACACUGGAACUGAGACACGGUCCAGACUCCUACGGGAGGCAGCAGUAGGGAAUCUUCCGCAAUGGGCGAAAGCCUGACGGAGCAACGCCGCGUGUGUGAUGAAGGUCUUCGGAUCGUAAAACUCUGUUAUUAGGGAAGAACAUAUGUGUAAGUAACUGUGCACAUCUUGACGGUACCUAAUCAGAAAGCCACGGCUAACUACGUG